rnacentral:rRNA from 1 species
GACGAACGCUGGCGGCGUGCUUAACACAUGCAAGUCGAACGAGUGGCGAACGGGUGAGUAAUACGUGAGUAACCUGCCCUCUUUUUGGGAUAAGCCUUGGAAACGGGGUCCAAUACCGGAUAACGGGGGAUGGGCUCGGGGACUAUCCGCGUGUUGGUGGUGUGAUGGCCUGACAAGGCGGUGACGGGUCGCCGGCCUGAGAGGGUGACCGGGCACAGUGGGACGGGGAAACGGCCCAGAGUCGUACGGGAGGCGGCAGUGGGGGAUAUUGCACAAUGGGCGAAAGACUGAUGCAGCGACGCCGCGGGGGGGAUGAAGGCUGUAGGGUUGUAAACCUCUUGCGGAAUCGAGCGGGUAGGUGGAGAAGAAGCGCCGGCUAACUACGUGCCAGCAGCCGCGGUAAUUC